GGUAUAGAUAUCUUAGCACAUCUUGUUUUUAAAUAGUUUUCUAUCUAGAACCUAAAAGGGUUAUUCGGCUGUCCCAUAGGAGAACCCUUUGAAGAAUCAUUUUUGGUUCCAGUGUCACGUCCUGACCAUAGAGAGCUCGUAUUUUUCUAUGGUAGAGUAGGUCAGGGCGUGAAAGGGUGGUUUUGUCUAGUUAAAAUUUUCUAUGUUGUUUUGGUUCUAGUUUCUUUUUUCUAUGUUGGGAUUUUUGUAUGAUCCCCAAUUAGAGGCAGCUGGUCAUCGUUGUCUCUAAUUGGGGAUCAUAUUUAAGUAGUUGUUUUUCCCACCUGUGUUUGUGGGAGAAUAUUUUGAGUUAGUGCAUGUUGCACCUCUUUCGUCACGGUUUGUGUUUUGUUUAUAGUUUAUUGUUUGUUUUGCAUAGUUUCACAUUCAAAUAAAAGAUGUGGAACGAUACCCACGCUGCGUCUUGGUCUCCUUCCUACGAUGAACAUGACAUCCAGUUAGAACCCUUUUGGGUUCUAUGAACAACCCUUUCCACAGAGAGUUCUAUAUGGAACCAAAAAGGGUUCUACCGGGAACCAAAAAGGGUUACCCUAUCGGCACAGCUGAAUAACCCUUGUAACGUAUACGCUGGGAGUCGGGAAGCAAGUUUGGGGGAGUGAAUUUAAUAAAUAAAGGAACAUGGAACAAAACAAGAAACACGAGUAGCGUACAGACAUGAAACAGAAACAACAACGCUUGGGGAAAGAACCAAAGAGACUGACAUAUAUAGGGAAGGUAAUCAGGUAGAAGGAACCAAAGGGAGUGACAUAUAUAGGGAAGGUAAUCAGGUAGAAGGAACCAAAGGGAGUGACAUAUUUGGGGAAGGUAAUCAGGUAGAAGGAACCAAAGGGAGUGACAUAUUUAGGGAAGGUAAUCAAGUAGAAGGAACCAAAGAGACAGACAUAUUUAGGGCAGGUAAUCAGGUAGAAAGAACCAAAGGGAGUGACAUAUUUAGGGAAGGUAAUCAAGUAGAAGGAACCAAAGGGAGUGACAUAUUUAGGGAAGGUAAUCAAGUAGAAGGAACCAAAGGGAGUGACAUAUUUAGGGAAGGUAAUCAAGUAGAAGGAACCAAAGAGACAGACAUAUUUAGGGAAGGUAAUCAGGUAGAAGGAACCAAAGGGAGUGACAUAUUUAGGGAAGGUAAUCAGGUAGAAGGAACCAAGGGGAGUGACAUAUUUAGGGAAUGUAAUCAGGUAGAAGGAACCAAAGGGAGUGACAUAUUUAGGGCAGGUAAUCAGGUAGAAGGAACCAAAGGGAGUGACAUAUUUAGGGAAGGUAAUCAGGUAGAAGGAACCAAAGGGAGUGACAUAUUUAGGGAAGGUAAUCAGGUAGAAGGAACCAAAGGGAGUGACAUAUUUAGGGAAGGUAAUCAGGCAGGUGAUUGAGUCCAGGUGAGUCUGAUGAGGUGCUGAUGCGCGUAACGAUGGUGACAGGUGUGCGUAAUAAUGAGCAGCCUGACAACCUCGAGCGCAGGAGAGGGAGUAUACGUGACAACCAUUUUUGGGAAAAGAUCAUUGUAAAUGGGGGUCCGGGGGGUCCUCCCCCGUAAUUGGAGGGGUAUUUUGAAAACACAGUAUAAGUGGAAGGCUUGUAUCUCAAACAGACCGUUUCAAAAAUACUUGAUGUCACAUCCUGCUGAGGAGGAUGAGCUGGCCAAUCAGAGGUCUACUGUUAUUAAUACUUUUUAUGGCCGGUAUACGCCCCCACCGUUCUGCUGUUGGGGUACGCCCCCGCCGUUCUGCUGUUGGGGUACGCCCCCACCGUUCUGCUGUUGGGGUACGCCCACACCGUUCUGCUGUUGGGGUACGCCCACACCGUUCUGCUAUUGGGGUACGCCCACACCGUUCUCCUGUUGGGGUACGCCCAUACCAUUCCAACACAGAAAAUAUGCUUUUUAACAUACUUAGCUAAAAAAAAUUGGAAGGAAAACUAUCUACCUCGUAAUUAAUUACAGGUCAUAUUUCAUAGAAAUCUGGAAAAACUGGACAGUUACUUUAAGG
rnacentral:lncRNA from 1 species